rnacentral:lncRNA from 1 species
GUAUUUCAUUUUCAUUAAUGAGACCAGAUGUGACCGUACUUGUAGCAGGAAAUGUUGACGCAUCAUGCGAGAAUGCUGCAUAGUUAGAGCUAGUUGGGUUGUCUGUUGAACCAAAGUUGUCCAAACAUAUGUCAGCUUAAUGGUUUUGACGGUACCGACUAUCAUGGUUAAAACAAUAAAACAAUUUAAGCUUGCCUGAUGAAUGAAGGGCAUGUGCAUUUUCAUCUCGGACAUUAGGUUGUUUUUUCCGCCAACAGGAAGCCCUUUCCAGGGCGUUUCUUUGGUCUACUUUGGAAAAAUAUUCUGUCAAUCGUAUUUUCCUUGGUGUCAUUAACGUCAAAUAAUCAUGACAUUCAUGUCAUUAUCUCUAAAGCCAAAUGAGAAAACACAACUUGACAUCUAACGGUCAUGUGGAUGGUGAGAUAAUAUUACCUUCUUUAUCUCCCACACAAAGGACACCCGAUGUGACCGUAGCUUCAUGAGGGUAUGUUACAUCAUUAGGCGAGACUGAUGUAUAGUCCUAGCUAGCUGAAUUAUAUGAUUCAACAAGAUUGGUCAGUACUUAUUUAAAUUGCGUAAUAAGUGACUACCUUCGUGCAAACACAGUGCAUACGGGACGUGGAUCAAUUUACCAACCAUGAUAAUCUCGUGUGGGUUUAUUUAUCUCCCUAUCUUCGAGAACAUUUGUGAUAUCACAUAGAGACUGGGGACGGGAUGACUUCCCAUUGACUUGUUGGUUAGCCGAACCAUCUGACUUGUUAUUGCGAUAAGCCACCCGCCUACGAGCGUUGAUAAGAUCCCUAUGAUCUAAUAAGCAACAUAGUAUGAGCAUCAUAUCAUCUAUAAUCAGGGAUAUAGAUUAAUACAACGAAUCAUGUGCAUACUAUACGUAUGCACAUCAAACUAAGAGCAGCCAUCAAGCUCACUAGAUUUUGCAAGUACCGGCUGAUUCUCAUCUUGUAAGCUGACAAUAUCCUCAUUAUUUUUCUUCCGAUAAGCUGCACGCCUCCUUGCAUUGUACUGCUCCCUUGCUUCCUCAGCGUAUUUUUUGCAUUCAUUAUUUAGAGAAACAGUUUCAAGCAGUUCGGAAGCUGUGUCGUCUGCAUCAUGUUAUAAGUACAAAUCAAAAAACAAAUAAAACACACUGAAGCACUGCCGAAUACGCCGGUUGGG